rnacentral:snRNA from 1 species
AUACAUGAAUAGUAAUUACCUUC